rnacentral:rRNA from 1 species
AUGCAGCCAUGCAUGCAUCCGAGACGUAAAUGCUGCUGCUGCCGUUGUGUGAACCGGAAGACCAAGUUUGACUCAAUAGACCCCGCCGCUCUCGGGCUCGGCGCCGUCAACAAGACCCGCGCCCUCGGCCUCCCCGACCAGUGCAGCGUCAAGACGCCGCCGCUCAGCAACUGCGCCUCUGCCCCCACCACGUCGCCAUCCUCCGGCGCGCCGGCGGGACAGGCGCCAACAUCCUCCGGAGCAGGGUCCAAGUCGACGCCGACGGCGGACGUGGGGAGCGGCGGCGCGUCACUCCACAGCUCGGCCGGCAUCAUCGCCGGCUUCAUCGUGGCCGCGGUCUACGCCGUGGCCACCCUAUGA